GUGGGGAAUAUUGGACAAUGGGCGAAAGCCUGAUCCAGCCAUGCCGCGUGUGUGAAGAAGGUCUUCGGAUUGUAAAGCACUUUAAGUUGGGAGGAAGGGCAGUAAGUUAAUACCUUGCUGUUUUGACGUUACCGACAGAAUAAGCACCGGCUAACUUCGUGCCAGCAGCCGCGGUAAUACGAAGGGUGCAAGCGUUAAUCGGAAUUACUGGGCGUAAAGCGCGCGUAGGUGGUUUUGUAAGUUGGAGGUGAAAUCCCCGGGCUCAACCUGGGAACUGCCUCCAAAACUGAAUGACUAGAGUAAGGUAGAGGGUAGUGGAAUUUCCUGUGUAGCGGUGAAAUGCGUAGAUAUAGGAAGGAACACCAGUGGCGAAGGCGACUACCUGGACUGAUACUGACACUGAGGUGCGAAAGCGUGGGGAGCAAACAGGAUUAGAAACCCCUGUAGUCC
rnacentral:rRNA from 1 species